rnacentral:rRNA from 1 species
CGGCAGCACGGGAGCUUGCUCCUGGUGGCGAGUGGCGAACGGGUGAGUAAUAUAUCGGAACGUGCCCUAGAGUGGGGGAUAACUAGUCGAAAGAUUAGCUAAUACCGCAUACGAUCUAAGGAUGAAAGUGGGGGAUCGCAAGACCUCAUGCUCGUGGAGCGGCCGAUAUCUGAUUAGCUAGUUGGUGAGGUAAAGGCUCACCAAGGCGACGAUCAGUAGCUGGUCUGAGAGGACGACCAGCCACACUGGAACUGAGACACGGUCCAGACUCCUACGGGAGGCAGCAGUGGGGAAUUUUGGACAAUGGGCGCAAGCCUGAUCCAGCAAUGCCGCGUGAGUGAAGAAGGCCUUCGGGUUGUAAAGCUCUUUUGUCAGGGAAGAAACGGGUGAGGCUAAUAUCCUUGCCUAAUGACGGUACCUGAAGAAUAAGCACCGGCUAACUACGUGCCAGCAGCCGCGGUAAUACGUAGGGUGCAAGCGUUAAUCGGAAUUACUGGGCGUAAAGCGUGCGCAGGCGGUUGUGCAAGACAGAUGUGAAAUCCCCGGGCUCAACCUGGGAAUUGCAUUUGUGACUGCACGGCUAGAGUGUGUCAGAGGGGGGUAGAAUUCCACGUGUAGCAGUGAAAUGC